CAACUUCAGCUUCAUUCUUGGAAAACAGUCACACCUCCUUCCUGGGUUUGUUUUGAGACUCGCACAAGGUCAUCAUCGAUCAAGCUGACAUGAUGCCUGGAAUCAGUCGACACAGAGUCAGGGCAGGCCUGGGACCCUGCUCCGAGUAGGAGGGAAGAGCCGGCUGGUGGGGGCAGGAGGAGGCAGGCAUCGAGUCUAAGGAAGCUGAGAAAUCAGGAGGUUUUAACCUCGCUUUCAUCCUGGUCUAUUCUGAUGUCGGUUUCAGCCAUGGCUGAUAAAUGACCAGCUUGUGUCAAAGUCACCUGACAUGGGAGCUCAGAUGACCAGCAUCCAAAUCUCAGUGACCCAGGACUGGAGAUGGGGGUCAGGAAGAGUCAACUCAAUGGAGCUGUAAGACACAUGGUCCUCACUAAGUCAGGCAGCGUGGGUCCUUCUCCAGAACCUGCUCUGGAUGGGCAAAGGGCCCAUCUCCUCCAGGCAGAUCUGGAGAAAAAUCACAGUCCAUUAAAUCUGCAUCUCUUGAAAGAAAAACCCAGAAGGCCACCUCCCCAUCAAAGGCAAAAUGAACAGAGUUGGGAAGUGUGUUUAAAAU
rnacentral:lncRNA from 1 species